rnacentral:rRNA from 1 species
GGAAUCUUCGGCAAUGGACGAAAGUCUGACCGAGCAACGCCGCGUGAGUGAAGAAGGUUUUCGGAUCGUAAAACUCUGUUGGUAGAGAAGAACGUUGGUGAGAGUGGAAAGCUCAUCAAGUGACGGUAACUACCCAGAAAGGGACGGCUAACUACGAGCCAG